GUCGCCGCGCAUCCUCUCCAUCCUCGUCCCUCGACGCCCUCUCUGCCAGACCUCUCUUCCGCGUUGCUGUAAAGGGAAUGGGCGGGUGGCGUACCAGGCCACCAGAGCGAUCUCCAACUUGGUGGAUCCUCUCUUAGCUUCAAGGAACCUGUGAAGAAAUAUUUCCCAAGCAGAUUUUAAAUAGUGGCCCGUCUGAUACCUGAAUGCUAUGGCAAUAUCAGCGAUUCUGUAAUUGUGCUGCAAAUUAGCGGUUCUGUUUUUUAAAUAUUGCAGUAUCAUCGAUUCUGUUGGAUUGUUUCAAGAUUGAUCUUUAGGUAGAGGUUGUUUAAUGACAGUUGCAGCUAUACAGUUUCUAGGGCCUUACUGUCCUGCUUGUUGGAAAUAGCAAAUACAUACCUAGGAGUAGAUUAACGGCAGCACUAAUUGUUCUGUUUGUUGUCCUGCUGUAAUGUAAUGGUAGUCUUGAUUUGGAACUUUGCAGUUGAGGAGUAGCUAGCUUGGGUGCAUUUUUUUCAAACAUGCAUUCUUCAGUACUGCUCCUGGAUCUCUGCUCACUCGAGAUUCAGUACAUCACGCAAAUUUUUUUGUUUUAGUUUUUAUUAUACAAAUAUUGAUGCAACUGCAAAUUCGAGUUAGGUUCAUUUCAAUUGCAAUGAGGUGGACUCAUAGUGAUCCUCACCCAGCCUGUUAGUCUUCGCUGCAUUUUGGUUUAAGCCUGCCCUCAAACCAGGAGUAAUAAUCUUCUAUAGCAUGAAUUUUGAUUGUUUAUUCAGAUGAUUGCUUGUUAGUUUUCUGUAGCGUAAAUGAGAUAAGAAUGUGCUAUUUCGUGAGUACUCAUGUGAUUAUAGCUAGGCAGAGGGGAAUGUCCUACUCAGUAACAUUACUCUCACCCGGAUUUUCGUCUUAGUGCCUGAGUGAGAAUUGACUUUAUGGCAGUCACUUUCUUUUGAAGAAAUAUGGUAUAAAAGAAGAUGCAGACUCUGAAUUUUAUUCAGUACUUAGUUCUGAAAAUAUUUCUUGCUUGUAUCCGACGUUUAUUUUUCAGAAUCCUUGUUUGUGCCUGGCGAGUAAUAAUUUUUCAGGAUUCUCCCAAAAAAAGCAAGGGACUUGGAGACGAAGAGCAAGUAUCUCGAGCCAAUGUUGCAGAGCCAAACAAAUGUCAGCGUUUGUGUUCUUGUUGUAGCUAGCCUGGUGUCGCCCGAGCUGAACCUCCAUGAGCAUGGGUACCCCCAUAAGGCAGACUAUCAUCUUUCAACUGUGCCAUUGAGUGAAGUACUCAUCUUACCUCUGAACUGAUGGAUAUUCUAUACAUAUGGCCUGGCGACAAACCGACGACAACUAUUGUUUUGGCAUGGCACCGAUGGCCGUUUGAGGCAUGAAGCGGUCAGUCCAGAGGACUGCGGCCAAGAUGAUGGCCUUUGUCCCUACGGCGUGAUUAGAAACAAAAGAUUGCUAAUUAGAACGGCAAGCGCCCCCUAGUUUCCAUUGCCAGUGAAAGGAAACACAGAUAUGUACAACAAAGCUGAUCGAAUACUCAAUUCUUUACCUCUGCAUUUGGGGAUUUAAGCUAGCAAAGUUGAGCUAACUAAAAUUUUGGGCUUACAGGCUGACUAGCUUCUAAAUCUUGUUAAAUAUACUGGUGAUGGUGUGACAAUGGACAUCCCCUUUCUCUUCACUGAUUCAAUUUUUGCCAAAGGAAUUCUAUGGUUGCAAAUUAUGUCCAGCUUCUUGAUUGUUAUGGUAUUUCUCUGCCCAUUUUUCAGGACAGACAUUGAUGUUCAAAAGAUUAAGUGGGAUUGGGGGUGUGUUCUGCUCCUGGGUACACAAUGAAAUGUAGAGCUGCACUGCAUGUUGUGGUCUUCAGCGUCGGGCUGCCUAGUACGGUAGAAAUCAAACAUCAAAGGGUCGUCUAGUGGAGCUGAUCAGCUGAUGUAACUAAAUAAUUUACACUGUCUCAUGUAAUUUAUUACAUGUUAACAUAUUAAUUCCUUUAUGUUUGAUAUGCGCGCAUUGCCAUGUGUGCAUGGACACAUUGGAAUUCAUACUCAAGCCGUCCGUGCAAAACUUGCGUUGUGUAA